rnacentral:snRNA from 1 species
GUGCUCGCUUCGGGCAAUCACAUAUACUAAAUUGGAUCACGAUACAGGAAGAUUAGCAUGGCCCCUGCGGAAAGGACUGACACGCAAAUCCUGUGUGAAGCGUACCAUAUUUUC